AUGGUCGUAACCGUGGCAGCGACGGGGUCGGACACGGCCGAGCCGCUGCACUCCACCACCUUCGCCUCCCGCUACGUCCGCGACCAGCUCCCCCGGUACCGGAUGCCGGAGGGGUCGAUCCCCAAGGAGGCGGCGUACCAGAUCAUCAGCGACGAGCUGAUGCUGGACGGGAACCCGCGGCUGAACCUGGCGUCCUUCGUCACCACCUGGAUGGAGCCAGAGUGCGGCAAGCUCAUCAUGGACUCCGUCAACAAGAACUACGUCGACAUGGACGAGUACCCCGUCACCACCGAGCUCCAGAACCGUUGUGUAAACAUGAUAGCUCACUUGUUCAAUGCGCCGAUCGGCGAGGAUGAGACUGCUAUCGGAGUCUCAACGGUGGGGUCCUCGGAAGCAAUCAUGCUUGCGGGCCUGGCGUUCAAGAGGAAGUGGGCAAACAAAAUGAAGGAGCAGGGGAAGCCAUGUGACAAACCUAACAUUGUUACUGGUGCAAAUGUUCAGGUUUGCUGGGAGAAGUUUGCUAGAUAUUUCGAGGUGGAACUGAAGGAGGUCAAGUUAACUGAAGGGUACUAUGUCAUGGAUCCUAAGAAGGCCAUUGAAAUGGUGGAUGAGAACACUAUAUGUGUUGCAGCCAUCUUGGGUUCUACUCUCACUGGAGAGUACGAAGAUGUGAAGCUGUUGAAUGACCUUCUUGUGGAGAAGAACAAGAAAACAGGGUGGAAUGUGCCGAUCCAUGUCGAUGCCGCCAGUGGAGGAUUUAUCGCUCCUUUUCUUCAGCCGGAGCUUGAAUGGGACUUCAGGCUGCCAUUGGUGAAGAGCAUCAACGUUAGUGGGCACAAGUAUGGCCUUGUGUACCCUGGUGUUGGAUGGGUCAUCUGGCGGAGCAAAGACGAUCUGCCCGACGAACUCAUUUUCCACAUAAACUAUCUGGGAACAGAUCAGCCCACAUUCACACUGAACUUCUCCAAAGGUGCUAGCCAGAUCAUUGCACAAUACUAUCAACUGAUCCGCCUCGGCUUCGAGGGGUACAAGCACAUCAUGGAGAACUGCAAGCUGAACGCGGCGGUGCUCAAGGAGGGCAUCGACGCGACGGGGCGGUUCGACGUGCUCUCCAAGGCGGACGGCGUGCCGCUGGUGGCCAUCAGGCUCAAGGACAGCACCAACUUCAGCGUGUUUGACAUCUCGGAGAACCUGAGGAGGUUCGGGUGGAUCGUGCCGGCCUACACCAUGCCCGCGGACGCGGAGCACGUCGCGGUCCUCCGCAUCGUCAUCCGGGAGGACUUCAACCGGAGCCUCGCGCAGCGGCUCCUCGCCGACAUCAACAAGAUCGUGCGCGAGCUGGACGCGCACGCCGUCCACGCCAUCAAGCUGUCCAACGCCGCCGCCGCCGAGGGCGCCUCCAAGAGCACCGUGGACGCCGUCACCGAGGCCUUCAAGGGCCUGGCCGGGAACAAGAAGGCCGGAGUCUGCUGA
rnacentral:rRNA from 1 species